GUACACAUUUGGAGGAUGGUGGUAAAGGCCCAAGAGAUCAUAUUCGGGGCACAUGAUGAGACGCAUUGUGAGGAAGCCUCUGCAAUCUUCUUUUCAAACCAUCCACCAAGGAGAAUUGUCUCACCUCCACUUGUCUUCUGCUCUCCUCUGUCACUGUUCCCCACUCGUACCCUCCUUCCUCAUUGUCACCAUGAAACAAUUGGCAGAUGUAACAUUUAAUUAUGGCUGUAUCUCCUCGGGCGUUGUCGAAGCAGAGCCAAGCCAGUGCUGUUCAGAGAAAAAAAAAAGGAGGAGUUGCAUUACAAUUUGCUACGAAGUGAUUUAUUCGUCCAACAAGCUGGGGAGUUGGAGGAUGGGGGGGGAGGAACCAAACAGGAAAGGAUGAAGUAUGGCUGUGGCUAGUGUGGAAGCAGCACUGAUGGAGCAGAAAGAAGAGGGGGCAGUGGGCUCGGCAAUAAUAAAGUUGCAGAUUGGUAUCACAUUGUGACGGUUUAAUGGAGUCUUGCGGCUGAGGACUUCAUUUACAACAGGGUCUGGCCCUCGCAUCGCUGCAACUGUCACCGUGUCUGAUUUCUCUAUUCCAGACAGAGACCGUCGCAGUUGUUUGCUGUCGACGCAAACCAAUUUUUAAAAAGAGCAAAUGAA